CCCGCGUCUGAUUAGCUGUUGGCGGGGUAGGGCCCACCAAAGGCGACGAUCAGUAGCCGGCCUGAGAGGGUGAACGGCCACAUUGGGACUGAGACACGGCCCAAACUCCUACGGAAGGCAGCAG
rnacentral:rRNA from 1 species